UCACUAAUAUGAGCAACACCAGAGGCGAACUGAUCACACAUCAGGUGAAAUCAAUCUGCGAAAAAGAGUUCCGGCAGAUUUUGUCUCUGCUUGUUGACACCAUGGACCAUAAGGUGAGGUAAAACAGUUAGUGUCUGUUUACAUCGAAAUAAUGUGGCUAAAUCCUUAGUUCUGGUUAGCAUGCUAAAUCGGCAGGCUACGGACAUUUUCGUGUUGGAUCCUGUCCAGCAAUCCUAGCAACGAGCGGAACAGGUGUGUCAACUGCAGGGCUCAGAAGAGAAGGAGAGCUGAAUGAAGACAGCUUCAUGUUAAAACGAAUGCAACAGGGAGAUAAGAAUCCAUCGCCAACAGCAUCCAACUGCUGUGGAAUCAGUGGGACUUUAAAAAUAAAACUGGGUGCAUAAAUCAUUCUAAAUCAAUAAAAUAAUCUUCAAAUCAA